CCAUUUUAUGCAUUAUUUGUUGUGUCUCUGCGCAGUAGGGAUAUGAAUUUGAUAGGCAUAGGCAUAGAAGACACCGGGAACUACCGAUGAACCACCAGGAUCAGAACAUGCAACCGGUCGACUAGCUAUGGCGACCGUCAUCAUCAGGUGCGACUGACCCAUAGGCCACGCUCUCUCGUGAUGUCAUGAGGAAUCAGCAAAGGGACGAAAUGGGGAUCAGAGGUUGGAUGGAAUGAGAAUUGGACAAUAUUUGGUCGAUGCAAUCAUGACUGCGAAAGAGGGCUAGAAAGAGCAGACGUGUUGCCGCUUGCUGGAUAGAGAUAUCUGUGUAGAGAUCAGUGAAAGAAAUGUCUUCAGUCAUCCUUAGAAAACCACACUACGUACUUUGCUACUCCCUCCAUCCCAUAAUAUAAGAGUGUUUUUGACACUACACUUGUGUCAAAAAUGCUCUUAUAUUAUGGGGUGGAGGGAGUACUUCACAAGCAUUACACAGUUGAAAAAGCAAUCACCUCGUUGUUGGAGAUCAUUGCUGCUGACAUCUUGGUGAUAACAAUGACAUGGAUGGGUUCAUGUUGAUCCACUGACACAAUGUAGCCUCCUUCAGUAAAAGAUAUGCACAGAUUGGCAAAAUAAGUAAAACGCCAGAAAUGCAUCCGCUUCAAAAAUGACAUGCUAGACAAGUACCAUGUCAGGCACGCCUGCAAAACAUGGAAGAUUAUAUUGUGAAUCUCUUGCUACCCAAACUUGUCAAGCUUUAGUGAUUUGUAUUUGAUAAGGUCACUUCACAGAAUUCUGUUAGAUUAGCUCUCUUAAUAUAAAGACCCUCCGGGAAAAAAUAUUAAACCAACUAUGCUCACAAUGAAGAAAACAAGUUGAAGCGAAUUAGGAAAGAUGGGACUACCCCUUGACAAUAUUUAAAGCUUGGAUGCAAACUGAUUCAAGCCAAGCCUAGCUUUCUUCCGUUUAAAUGGAGAUUUAAAUGCUAAAUGUAGAAUUGAGAAGAUACUGUCUCCAUGUUUUUUUUACUGGAUGCAAACAACAACACUGGCAAAUUACACCCCUUAAUUUUGUAAAGCCAACAAUCCAACUUUGUACUAACUUUAGUACAAAGUUAGUACAAAGUUGGGUCAUCUAUUUUGGAACGGAGGGAGUACCAUUUAUCUCCAAAAGACACAUUUAAGCAACGGACUAUAACGAAAUGAGAAGAGGCUGUUAACACCAAAGCAAUCAACAGCAGUCUUAUAGGUUUUAAAGCAGAAAAAUGUGUCAAAGGAUGUUGAUUGUGUGAGAAUUCCUGUCUAUUCUGUUGUUGACAAAAAAGAAAAUGAACCCAAUGCAUAUCUCUUGAAUAUAGUUUAGAAAAGUACAUACCAAAUCCAAGUGUUGGAGGAGAAUAAGUUAAUUAGCAUGAGCAGCAAUAGGCAAUAGCUGAAGACAAGAUCUACUAAUACUGAUCCAAAUCAUGAAAAACAUGUCAGGAUGAAAUUAAAUUGCUGGGACUUCAAGUUCUGUGCAUGAUCUGUACUUGAUACAUGUGAACAUAUAACACUAUAACAGUAUGAAUGAAUUUGAUAUAUCGUGUGCAAUAUCAAAAAGAGUUAUCUCUAACUUGAAUCAGUGCAGGAAUUUUUUUACAGUAACACCCGCGUGAAAUUGAUCGGCCAGCACCAGACAAAAAAUAGAUAUUAGAACUACUGAGGAACAGAACAGUUUAGCCAAAAAAACAAUCCAUUUUUCAAUAUCUAAGAGCUGUUGCUACGGAUACCAAAUCAUGUUAUCUUGUACAGCAUUAGAAAUCAUUUUUGCAUAAUAGUUACUGACAUCUCAACGGAAAUUACCAAAUAAUAAAUAGCUGAAAAUGGUAUGAUGGAAUCAUAAGAUACACUCAUUCUAAAAAAACAGUGCAUAGAAGCUCCCACACAAGGUGGGGUAUGGGGAGGGAUUAUAGGAACCUAGUCUUACCCCUGCAACGUGCAAUGCAAAGAGGCUGGUUCAAAUCCAGGACCUCUUGGCACAAGUGGGGAGGACUUCACAACUACGCCAGGCCUGCCCUCUAUCAUUCUCAUUCCAAAUUAUGUAGUGGCGUUCUCCAGGACAGUGUUAUAUUAACUUUCAUAUUGGCUGGGUAAUUAAAAGAGUGGCCGUGAAGAAUAUCCUCGUUAAGAUCAGAACAUUCCCUCAAAAUUAGAACAUUUAGGGUAACUUUUCUUGUAAUGUUAUAAAGUGUAUGUUUCUGAAACCUUAGACAGAUACUGCCACCCACUCAUCCCAGUCUACUGAUACAGCAAGCUUCCCUACAUAUAGGUUCUUAACAUAUCGAUGACAAAGGAGCAAAAAAUGGUCACUAAAAUUUUGCCACAUUGAAUUGGACUAAAGGUGUUGAUGUUGUCAUUCAAACAGAGGAGUCCUUGCCUGAGAUAUGAAGGUGAUAUUUUUCUGUUUAAUUAAUGUGCAGAGAAAGCUAAACACCAUAAAUAGAAAACUCUAGUUCAACAGGAAUAAUUGAACAACACUACAUUCAAAUUACAUCCAACACCCCGCAAAAAGACAAAUUACAUCCAACAAAAUGGAAUUGAGUGAGACAAGCAUAGCCUACAUAAUUGGUCAUCACUUUGCCCGCUAGCUCAUUUGUCACCUCUUUUUAUUCUAAAUUAAUCCGUUCACAGAGCUAUAAUUCAAAUAGAGCAUCAUCAUCAAUGUCACAGGCACCAUCAUGAAGAACAUGGAAGUUUAGGGCGUGUCCGGGAGUCCUCCCGCUUCUCAACUCCUCAACUCCAUGUGAGGAGUGCAGCCGAACGAUCCAAAUCCUAGUUAUGAGCGAGAGAAGCUGGCGAAACUUGCAGUGCAAUUUUCGCGGAGUCGCGGAGCUAGCAAACUCGAGCUCCUCCAAAACAGCGAAGCAGGAGUUGCCAAGAAUUGCCACCACCAAGUGAGUUACCGCUUCGUUCAUUUGUAGCAAAUAUUACAAGUAUGUGCCACCGCCAAGGCAGUUACCGGUUCGUUUGUUCGCCAGAGCAGGCUUCCCACGCCUAGAUGGGCUGUCACGCCUAGUUGGGCCCUCCCGAGCUGCUAUUUCUCAUAGCUAGGUGGCUGGCGGCCUGUUUCAACGACCAGAACGAGGAGCUACUCUACCGGGCGAUUUGUAACUCCGGGAUUUUAACUGAGAAGCUGGCUGCUGGUUUUGGGCUAUGGAGUUGAGGAUUUUGAGGGUGUGGAGAGCUACCGAACACGCCCGUAGUUUUGCAAAAUUUCUCACUAACCAAACUUGUCAAGCUUCGGCAGUCUGUACUUUGUAAGGUCCCCUUACAGAGUUCGGUUAGACUAGCUCUCUUAAUGAACCAACGAAGUGAAGAUCCUUCGGAAAAAAGUAAACCAAGUAUGCUCACAACUAAUAUAACAAGUUUAAGCGAAUUAGGAUAGAUGAUCUAACCUUAACAAUACAUAAAGCUUGGAUGCAACUGAUUCGAGCUAAGCCUAGUUUCCAGGAGAUCAUCUGCUAGAACCUGCACCAAUUGGGAAGAG
rnacentral:lncRNA from 1 species